UACGGGGGGGGCAAGCGUUGUUCGGAAUUACUGGCGUAAAGGGCUCGUAGGUGGCCAACUAAGUCAGACGUGAAAUCCCUCGGCUUAACCGGGGAACUGCGUCUGAUACUGGAUGGCUUGAGUUUGGGAGAGGGAUGCGGAAUUCCAGGUGUAGCGGUGAAAUGCGUAGAUAUCUGGAGGAACACCGGUGGCGAAGGCGGCAUCCUGGACCAACACUGACACUGAGGAGCGAAAGCCAGGGGAGCAAACGGG
rnacentral:rRNA from 1 species